rnacentral:rRNA from 1 species
GCUGGCGACCAUAGCGUUAUAGUACCACCUGAUCCCAUACCGAACUCAGAAGUGAAAUAUAACAGCGCCAAUGGUAGUGUGAGGUUUCCUCAUGCGAGAGUCGGACAUCGCCAGCA